GCCUGGGUGGCUCAGUCGGUUGAGCGUCCGACUUCGGCUCAGGUCACGAACCAGUUUGUGAGUUCGAGCCCCGCCUCGGGCC
rnacentral:tRNA from 1 species